CUACGGGAGGCAGCAGUGGGGAAUAUUGCACAAUGGGCGCAAGCCUGAUGCAGCCAUGCCGCGUGUGUGAAGAAGGCCUUCGGGUUGUAAAGCACUUUCAGCGGGGAGGAAGGCGUUAAGGUUAAUAGCCUUGUCGAUUGACGUUACCCGCAGAAGAAGCACCGGCUAACUCCGUGCCAGCAGCCGCGGUAAUACGGAGGGUGCAAGCGUUAAUCGGAAUUACUGGGCGUAAAGCGCACGCAGGCGGUCUGUCAAGUCGGAUGUGAAAUCCCCGGGCUCAACCUGGGAACUGCAUUCGAAACUGGCAGGCUAGAGUCUUGUAGAGGGGGGUAGAACUCCAGGUGUAGCGGUGAAAUGCGUAGAGAUCUGGAGGAAUACCGGUGGCGAAGGCGGCCCCCUGGACAAAGACUGACGCUCAGGUGCGAAAGCGUGGGGAGCAAACAGGAUUAGAUACCCGGGUAGUC
rnacentral:rRNA from 1 species